rnacentral:rRNA from 1 species
UACCCUACGGGACGCAGCAGUGAGGAAUAUUGGUCAAUGGGCGGGAGCCUGAACCAGCCAAGUCGCGUGAGGGACGACGGUCCUAUGGAUUGUAAACCUCUUUUGUCGGGGAACAAAGGCGCCCACGGGUGGGCGGAUGAGUGUACCUGAAGAAAAAGCAUCGGCUAACUCCGUGCCAGCAGCCGCGGUAAUACGGAGGAUGCGAGCGUUAUCCGGAUUUAUUGGGUUUAAAGGGUGCGUAGGCGGAAUAUCAAGUCAGCGGUAAAAAUUCGGGGCUCAACCCC